rnacentral:rRNA from 1 species
CCCAGACUCCUACGGGAGGCAGCAGUGGGGAAUAUUGCACAAUGGGGGAAACCCUGAUGCAGCGACGCCGCGUGAGUGAAGAAGUAAUUCGUUAUGUAAAGCUCUAUCAGCAGGGAAGAAAAUGACGGUACCUGAGUAAGAAGCCCCGGCUAACUACGUGCCAGCAGCCGCGGUAAUACGUAGGGGGCAAGCGUUAUCCGGAUUUACUGGGUGUAAAGGGAGCGUAGACGGCAGUGCAAGUCUGGAGUGAAAUCCCGGGGCUUAACCCCGGAACUGCUUUGGAAACUGUGCGGCUGGAGUGCAGGAGGGGUAAGCGGAAUUCCUGGUGUAGCGGUGAAAUGCGUAGAUAUUAGGAGGAACACCGGUGGCGAAGGCGGCUUACUGGACUGUAACUGACGUUGAGGCUCGAAAGCGUGGGGAGCAAACAGGAUUAGAUACCCGUGUAC